UGGGGAAUAUUGGACAAUGGGCGAAAGCCUGAUCCAGCCAUGCCGCGUGUGUGAAGAAGGCCUUUUGGUUGUAAAGCACUUUAAGUGGGGAGGAAAAGCUUAUGGUUAAUACCCAUAAGCCCUGACGUUACCCACAGAAUAAGCACCGGCUAACUCUGUGCCAGCAGCCGCGGUAAUACAGAGGGUGCAAGCGUUAAUCGGAAUUACUGGGCGUAAAGCGCGCGUAGGUGGUUAUUUAAGUCAGAUGUGAAAGCCCCGAGCUUAACCUGGGAACUGCAUCUGAUACUGGAUAACUAGAGUAGGUGAGAGGGGAGUAGAAUUCCAGGUGUAGCGGUGAAAUGCGUAGAGAUCUGGAGGAAUACCGAUGGCGAAGGCAGCUCCCUGGCAUCAUACUGACACUGAGGUGCGAAAGCGUGGGUAGCAAACAGGAUUAGAUACCCUGGUAGUCCACGCCGUAAACGAUGUCUACCAGUCGUUGGGUCUUUUAAAGACUUAGUGACGCAGUUAACGCAAUAAGUAGACCGCCUGGGGAGUACGGCCGCAAGGUUA
rnacentral:rRNA from 1 species